AAAUGCUCAGUUAAAUCAGUCAAUGUGACAUAAUGAAAAGUACUUCAUUAGGUGGAGAGGUCAUUAGCAUCUGGGGCAAUUAUUACAUCUGAUUUUACAUCUGAUUUUGCUGGAUAGCAAAAUACAUAGUGUCACAGUGAAAUGACAACUCUAAUGUGAUUUUUUUCAUGAAUAAUUUCUCUCCAGAACAGAGGCAAAAUUAAUGUUGAAUUUUUAAAUAAUUACUUUAAACUAAUUAAAGAUAGAAAAAUCAAUGAAAGGAAGUCUUCAAGAUAUGAAAGAAAAUAACGAUUAAUCAUUGGCUAAAUUGUUUCGGAGUAAACAAUUUCCCUGAGUACAAAUUGAACCUCAUAUUCCCAGUUCGUUUCCAGUACAGAGUCAAAGUGUCAUAUUAUAUUAAGCGAAUAAUAAGACUCCACAGCUCAUUAAAGCAUAAAUUCAUUUCUUUGCUUCUCUAGUGGUGUAUAUGUGUUUGCAUUUUUGCCCUGAGGACAGAUACUAACAUGAACAUUUAUCUGUAAUUAAAGAUUCACCGACCAUUAGCAGUAUAGCACUUUCACUACCAGUUAAGGCAAAUGAAUAAAGCUGUUUCAAAAAUUAUAUCCUAUCCCAUGUGAAAGUUAUCCACAUUUUCUCCAGGUUUCCUCCAGGAGAAUACCUUCCUACAAUAGUUUUCUCUAAAGCUAAGACAGAAAUGUUUGAUAAUCCACCAUCUGUUAUUUUUUCUCAAUAAUAAUUAGAAUUUUUUUGUGUGUGUUUCUGUGCUCUGUAAGGACUUUUAAAAUUGAUCAGAGAAAAUAAGAGCUAACCCUAAGUUUGCCUGUUUGUAUACUGAAGGGUAUGUGCUAGAACAGAUAAAGAUGAAGAUCAGGAAGCUGAAGGGACAGAUGCAAGGCUGCACAGCUACUCAUCAAAUCUGGAAUGGAAAUACUUUAUUGAUAUAAAACUGAAUAUCUACAAAAAAUUUUCCCAGUAAUGAAAGAUUACAAUGUGCCUUGAUUAUACUUUACUAGUGAUCUUAAGAUGCCAAUGAGUGACUGCCAAAAACAGUGCUUUACGUCAAACAUCUGAGUAAAAUUAUCUUCUCUAGAUUCAACCACCCAGUAAUGGUCUAUUGAGAAAAAAAAAUCUGUGUUCUAAAUUUUGGAAUAAAUUACCUAUUUAUUCUACAGUCGUUCAACUAGUUAAUAUGUAUUGAAAAUUUUGCAUUGAGUAUAGCAAAGUGGGUAAGAACAAAGAAUAUGAAGCUAAUUUACAUGGGUUCAAGUUCUUUUUCUGUCAUUUUUCCGUGUGAACUUAAGCAAGCUGUUAUUUAAGCUCUCUCUUUCUUGAUUCUUCUCUACAAUGUGGGGUGUGACAACUGCUGGAACUCAUCACUACCCAUUUUUUCCUUUUGUUCGUGAGUAUAGAGUCUACUUAUAUUCCUCAUCCCAUAUACGUUCACAACAAUCCAGGAAAUAGUCCCUGCAAGUGAAAGGUAAACAUAAGUAGUUAAAACACUUCGAAGCCUGGCCCAUAAAAAUCUAUCUAUGCAUAAUUGUGUUCUUCUUCCCCAUCAAUAUGUAAUAAAAUGGAAAGAACUCUGAGGAUAUGCAAGGCCAAGUCUACAGGAUGGAAGAUGGCAAUGAGCCUGCAUGACUGUGUAGGGAAGAAACUUUCUGGCACCAGGUGGAACCCACAAUGAUGUAAAAAACCAAUAUAUUUUCCUUAUGUAAAGCUACAAAGUUUUAAGAUUUCAAUUGGUUUGUAAUAUAAUUAUCCAUCUCUGCACCAAAAAAAAAUGAGGUUGUAAAUGUCUUUAUGUCAUAGAGUUAAGUGGGGAUUAGUGGGUUAAUAGAUGUAACACCAGGAACAGAGCCUGACAUUAGUUAAGGUCAAACACAUAUCUUCUAUUUAAUUGAUUAGAAUAACUGUGGCGAAAUGAGUAGGAUUCUCCAAACAUUCACGGGCUGCUCCACGUUGCCGAGCUUCCCUUGCUGUCGACUUGGGGACUCUAGUUGAAUUUGGACCAAUGAGAUGUGAGCAGAGCUAAAGGCAGACACCACCAUGCCUGCCUUGAAAUGUAUCUGUGUGCACACCUCCUGUCAUUCUUGCCCUGUUGUGGGACCUGGGAAAGCAAAUGAUGAAAAGGUGACUUAUUUUCUCAUUUGAAAAUUAUGCAUAUUGUAAGGAGAUGUGUGUAAGUGCCCAGUUGACACUCACAUUCUUUUCAACGUGCUAACUUUGGUAUGUCGGACUAUGUUACCCAGAAUUCCUCUUCCUGUGUGUUCUGGUUAAGAUGGGCCCUAGAUAAAUUAUUGUUCUUGAUUUGGAGAGCAGAGGUGACGCUACAAUUUUUAAGCUCUUAUGUUGAUAAAGAUGGAAUUACAUCAUUAGCAAGAGGAGCAGCAGCUUGGCCUUAAAAUGCUUUACCAUCCCCUCAAUCCUCCUUGAAGCUUCUCUCAAUCUAUGCUAGGUGAAUGUGUUGAGCUCUGCUAUGAGAGGCCCAGCUUCUACAGGAUACCCUAUCAGAUACCGGGUCUAAGGCCACAAAAACAAGCAUAGUUUUCUGUCCAUAAUCAUGGGCUCCAAUUCUGCUGUGAAUUCCAGCUUGUUCUUGUUCCUUAUCUUACCUCCAAUUUUCCUUCCUGACUCCUCUCCUGUAGACUUCAACUCCAGUAUCAGAGGCAAAGAGAGUUGCAGAGAUGGCCUAACCAGGAAGCUUAGCCAGCUCUGAAGAUUACAUAAGAUCAAAU
rnacentral:lncRNA from 1 species